rnacentral:tRNA from 1 species
AGUUAGUGUAGCAAAACCUGGUAUUGCAAAAGACCUAAGCCCUUUCUACAGAGGUUCAAAUCCUCUCCCUAACU